GCGCUUUACAGUGGGUGGACGAACAAACCUGUAGUUGUAACCAGACAAGUUGGACACACAGGAACAGAGGGGUUGAGGGCCCAGCUCAAUGAGCUUACAAGCUAGAGUGAGUGGGGUAGUAAGUGACACAAAAGGUAAGGAUAGUAUUAGACUAAUGACAGUUGCAAGAGAGGAAUCAAUUGGGAGCUAUUAAUAGUUUAAUUGAUA